GACGAACGCUGGCGGCGUGCUUAACACAUGCAAGUCGAACGGAAAGGCCCUGCUUUUGUGGGGUGCUCGAGUGGCGAACGGGUGAGUAACACGUGAGUAACCUGCCCUUGACUUUGGGAUAACUUCAGGAAACUGGGGCUAAUACCGGAUAGGAGCUCCUGCUGCAUGGUGGGGUUGGAAAGUUUCGGCGGUUGGGGAUGGACUCGCGGCUUAUCAGCUUGUUGGUGGGGUAGUGGCUUACCACGGCUUUGCCGGGUAGCCGGCCUGAGAGGGUGACCGGCCACAUUGGGACUGAGAUACGGCCCAGACUCCUACGGGAGGCAGCAGUGGGGAAUAUUGCACAAUGGGCGGAAGCCUGAUGCAGCAACGCCGCGUGCGGGAUGACGGCCUUCGGGUUGUAAACCGCUUUCGCCUGUGACGAAGCGUGAGUGACGGUAAUGGGUAAAGAAGCACCGGCUAACUACGUG
rnacentral:rRNA from 1 species